GACGAACGCUGGCGGCGUGCUUAACACAUGCAAGUCGAACGGAAAGGCCCUGCUUUUGUGGGGUGCUCGAGUGGCGCACGGGUGAGUAACACGUGUGUAACCUGCCCUUGACUUUGGGAUAACUUCAGGAAACUGGGGCUCAUACCGCAUAGGAGCUCCUGCUGCACGGUGGGGGUUGGAAAGUUUCGGCGGUUGGGGAUGGACUCGCGGCUUAUCAGCUUGUUGGUGGGGUAGUGGCUUACCAAGGCUUUGACGGGUAGCCGGCCUGAGAGGGUGACCGGCCACAUUGGGACUGAGAUACGGCCCAGACUCCUACGGGAGGCAGCAGUGGGGAAUAUUGCACAAUGGGCGGAAGCCUGAUGCAGCAACGCCGCGUGCGGGAUGACGGCCUUCGGGUUGUAAACCGCUUUCGCCUGUGACGAAGCGUGAGUGACGGUAAUGGGUAAAGAAGCACCGGCUAACUACGUG
rnacentral:rRNA from 1 species